rnacentral:rRNA from 1 species
UUAAGCAUAUCAAUAAGCGGAGGAAAAGAAACUAACAAGGAUUCCCCUAGUAACUGCGAGUGAAGCGGGAAAAGCUCAAAUUUAAAAUCUGGCAGUCGUUGGCUGUCCGAGUUGUAUUCUGGAGAAGCGUUUUCCGCGCUGGACCGUGUACAAGUCUCUUGGAAUAGAGCGUCGUAGAGGGUGAGAAUCCCGUCUUUGACACGGACUACCAGUGCUUUGUGAUGCGCUCUCAAAGAGUCGAGUUGUUUGGGAAUGCAGCUCAAAAUGGGUGGUGAAUUCCAUCUAAAGCUAAAUAUUGGCGAGAGACCGAUAGCGAACAAGUACCGUGAGGGAAAGAUGAAAAGCACUUUGGAAAGAGAGUUAAACAGUACGUGAAAUUGCUGAAAGGGAAACGCUUGAAGUCAGUCGCGUCAUUCAGAACUCAGCCUGGCUUUUGCCUGGUGUAUUUUCUGGUUGACGGGCCAGCAUCAGUUUUGACCGCUGGAAAAAGGCCAUAGGAAUGUGGCACCCUCGGGUGUGUUAUAGCCUAUGGUCAUAUACAGCGGUUGGGACUGAGGACCGCAGCACGCCUUUAUGGUUGGGGUUCGCCCACAUUCGUGCUUAGGAUGCUGGCGUAAUGGCUUUAAACGACCCGUCUUGAAACACGGACCAAGGAGUCUAACAUGCCUGCGAGUGUUUGGGUGGAAAACCCGAGCGCGUAAUGAAAGUGAAAGUUGGGAUCCCUGUCGCGGGGAGCACCGACGCCCGGACCAGACCUUUUGUGACGGAUCCGCGGUAGAGCAUGUAUGUUGGGACCCGAAAGAUGGUGAACUAUGCCUGAAUAGGGUGAAGCCAGAGGAAACUACUGGUGGAGGCUCGUAGCGAUUCUGACGUGCAAAUCGAUCGUCAAAUUUGGGUAUAGGGGGCGAAAGACUAAUCGAACUAUCUAGUAGCUGGGUUCCUGCCG